rnacentral:sRNA from 1 species
ACGAUGACUCUGGAGUCCAUGAUGGCGUGUUGCCUGAGCGAUGAGGUGAAGGAGUCCAAGCGGAUCAACGCCGAGAUCGAGAAGCAGCUGCGGCGGGACAAGCGCGACGCCCGGCGCGAGCUCAAGCUGCUGCUGCUCGGCCAAUGCGCUCCUGAUCCGGGAGGUGGACGUGGAGAAGGUGACCACCUUCGAGCAUCAGUACGUCAGUGCCAUCAAGACCCUGUGGGAGGACCCGGGCAUCCAGGAAUGCUACGACCGCAGGCGCGAGUACCAGCUCUCCGACUCCGCCAAGUACUACCUGACCGACGUUGACCGCAUCGCCACCUUGGGCUACCUGCCCACCCAGCAGGACGU